rnacentral:rRNA from 1 species
GAUGAACGCUGGCGGCGUGCCUAAUACAUGCAAGUCGAACGCACGGACAAGAAGCUUGCUCUUUUCAGGUUAGCGGCGGACGGGUGAGUAACGCGUAGAUAACCUGCCUCUUAGACGGGGAUAACUACGGGAAACGAUAGCUAAUACCGCAUAAUAUUAUAUACUGCAUGAUGCAUAAGUAAAAGGCGCAAUUGCAGCACCACCAAGACGACCUCUGGUUGAUUAGCUAGUUGGUAAGGUAACGGCCCACCAAGGGAACCGUACGUAGCCGGACUGAGAGGAUGAUCGGCCACACUGGAACUGAGACACGGUCCAGACCCCUACGGGAGGCAGCAGUGGGGAAUAUUGGACAAUGGGCGAAAGCCUGACGGAGCAAGGCCGCGUGGGUGAUGAAGGUCUUCGGAUCGUAAAGCCCUUUUUUUGGGAAAGAAGAGAUUGAGAGUGAAAAGUUCACAUUGUGACGGUACCUAAUCAGAAAGCAACGGCUAACUACGUG